UCCAGUAGUAGUCAGCCAUCCCAGACACAUUCCUGUGAUGGUGUUACACUGCUGGGAGAGUAAUGUGUGAUCUUCACCUGGUUGCUGCAUCACUGUUUUGGUGGGCUGUGACUCUGGUGUAAGACAGAACUGUGCUUCCUUGAGAGUGUGCUAAGCAUUCAUUUUGACUGCUUAGUUCUAGUGUGGGAGCAGACAAA
ensembl:snoRNA SNORA74 Small nucleolar RNA SNORA74